UCCACUGGAGGCUAUUUUCAUGGCAGGAAUUUGCUAUUUGGAUAAACUGUACCACGAGCACAUCUCUGUGGCUGUGCAUUUUUAUAAGGUGAAUCGCUCCCAUUCCUGAGCAAUCACAGUGCUGAAUACAAUUCAGUACCUCCCCUCCUUGGCCUGAGUGUCACAGACCCUUGUCUACGGAAGGUAUUGGUUGAACAAAAAGCAAGCCUGAGACUUUGCUUUAGCUUUAUAUUUGCAAAACGUGUACUUUCUCAGCAAAUGUUCUCACUCUUACAUCCUUGUAAAGCGAUCAUUUUUAACAGCUAGCAACACGCCCAGAUAAAUCUCUGAACAACUUGGUCUAAAAAGUACACCGUUUGUUACAUUUAUUUCUAUGGGAAAUUUCUUUUAAGUUCAGAGGAACACUCAUCUGAUACCGUCAGAAGUGAUGGACCAGGAGGUGUUGGGAGAGCUGGCAGCCCUAGAUGUCAGACUGAUCAGGACAGAUGGAGCAAACAGAGGCAAAGAGAGAGUUACACAAAACCACUGGAAAGGAAGAGAUGGCCUGAAGUUACCUAUGCCACACUUAGACCAUCUCCAACAGCUAAGGAAAUGGAAUCAAAAUAUAGAGAGAAGACUGUUCAGUGUACACAGCCUUUCAAGAUGACCCAGAAGCAAAGGAAUAGCAAGGUGAGUUAAGACAUGCUGCAAUACAUAAGUAAACAUGAAUAACACCAAGAACCCUUUGCCUUCAGAAGAAUCAAAAGUUGGGGAGUCG